GGAAUUCAGUUGAAGAAAGGAAGGAAGGAUGAAAUGAACAAGCUUCUCUAAAAGCUUUGAGCCUUGCAGGGCUGGACUUGGAAUUUCAUCACCACAGAGAAAGAAGGAAGACAAGGGGGCACAGAGUCCAAAUGCAUUUCAAAUUUUUUCACAUAAAUCUGAUGUGCUUCUCAUUCUUGUUCUGAGUCCUGACAGGGUGUUAACAUCCAAGGUGAUGCCUGAAUAUGAGAAAUUAAUGACAACAAGAGUCUCCUGAACAAAUUUAAAACUAAACUGGAAAAUGAGGUGACAACUACAAAAUCAUAGUCAUUCUGGAACCUGGAAAAAAUCUACCCUCUUCUCCAAAAUUUUCCUAGCCAUUCUUUACACCUUCAUUACUAAAUUUUUAAGAUAAGUUUUAGUAGCACUCUUGAGAUUGCUGUAAAGAGGUUCAAUAAUGUGACAGUGAGCCCAUUGAAGUAGAGUGCUAGCAGACAUUUUCAGAAUUCAACAAUUUUAAUCAUUAUGAUGUGCUGAGAAUAUCAAUAACCUCAUUUUCAAAUAAAAACAGAUAAUUCUAUGGCUGUCAACAUAUGCACCUAUAAUAUAAACAUUUAU